GAUGAACGCUGGCGGCGUGCCUAAUACAUGCAAGUCGAGCGAACAGAUGAGGAGCUUGCUCCUCUGACGUUAGCGGCGGACGGGUGAGUAACACGUGGAUAACCUACCUAUAAGACUUGGAUAACUUCGGGAAACCGGAGCUAAUACCGGAUAAUAUAUUGAACCGCAUGGUUCAAUAGUGAAAGACGGUUUUGCUGUCACUUAUAGAUGGAUCCGCGCCGCAUUAUCUAGGUGGUAAGGUAACGGCUUACCAAGGCGACGAUGCGAAGCCGACCUGAGAGGGUGAGCGGCCACACUGGAAAUGAGACACGGUCGAGACUCCGACGGGAGGCAGCAGUGGGGAAGAUUGCACAAGGGGCGCAAGCCUGAACCAGCCAUACCGCGUGAGUGAAGAAGGCAUUCGGAUUGUAAAACCCUUUUGUUAGGAAAGAAAAAAAGUAGAAGAAAACCCGCACGUCCUGACGGUACCCAAAGAAAAAGCACCGGCUAACUACGUG
rnacentral:rRNA from 1 species